GACAUGGCAGGAAUCCCGAAGAGAUUUGGGAGUGCUCGAAAGAGAACCUGCACACAGGUGCUGCAUGGCUGUCGUCAGCUCGUGUCGUGAGAUGUUGGGUUAAGUCCCGCAACGAGCGCAACCCUUGCCAUUAGUUGCUACGAAAGGGCACUCUAAUGGGACUGCCGGUGACAAACCGGAGGAAGGUGGGGAUGACGUCAAGUCCUCAUGGCCCUUAUAGGUGGGGCUACACACGUCAUACAAUGGCCGGUACAGAGGGUAGCCAACCCGCGAGGGGGAGCCAAUCCCACAAAGCCGGUCGUAGUCCGGAUCGCAGUCUGCAACUCGACUGCGUGAAGUCGGAAUCGCUAGUAAUCGCGGAUCAGCAUGUCGCGGUGAAUACGUUCCCGGGUCUU
rnacentral:rRNA from 1 species